ensembl:lncRNA
UUUCAUAUAAAUGUGCUUUAUUGCAGAGAAGUUACAUUAUUUACAUGCUGCAACACAUUACAACAUAAAUCUAUCAAGUAUUUCAUGGUGGAUGCUGUUGGUUGCCAGAUAGCGUUGUUAUAAGAACCACAUUAUAAAGUGAAGAGACUUACAGCUUUAUAUAGUCUACAACUUGGAGUAGCUAAAAUGUUAAAAGUCAAAAGGCAGUGUUUUCUCAGGCCUGCCUGUUGUCAUAUGCAUGCAAAAGCCUAAGGAGAGCAAAUAUAAAAGUAUUGUCCGGUUUCAGGUCUAUGAUGCCACCAAAGCUGAUGAUAGGUGUGUACUGAUUUAUAUUUUAAAGCAUAUAAUCUUGCGUAAAUUAUACAAGUCUAAUAAGAUUGGUAGAAAUCUAAUUAUUUAUAAACCAUGGCUUAGAAAUAAAGGAGAAAUGCAGCUUGCACAUGCAUUUAAAAGGACAACCUAGCAAAUGUUUGUGACCUUAGUGUUUAUUACCUUUUCUCUUAACAGAUCUGCUAGAAAACAUCGUAAUUGUAGAGUUGCACUUCUCUUGGCUGAAUAAUGACAAUGAAACUCCAGAAAAAGACAGCUAAGCAAUCUAGCCAAUAUAUGCUGGUGGAGAAAAAACUAUGAAAUACAGAACAUUGUUUAUGUCUAACUUAGUAUGUCUUCAUUAAGCAAUGUUUCUAGCAGCAUCAUAGUGAAACAGACUAGUUGAGUGAAGUUUGGCCCCUCAUUUUCUUAAGUGUGAAUUAAAGUCCCAAUUUAAUCUGUAGUCCAUGUAUCAGUUGCUAAAUAAACUGGGGAAAGCUUUGUUGCUUUCUAAAGGGAAGUUCUCCAGUUACAUCAGUCUUAGGAGAUGUGACUAUGACAAGCCUAAAGAACCAUAACAGACAUUUUUUAAAAAGUGAGGGAAAGGGUCAGGAUGAAGGAAAAGAAAACCAAACAAGAAUAUACAAGCCAAAGCCUUCCCUGGUAAAUUAGCCAUCGUUCUUUUGCUUGCCAUGCAGCUGGGCUGUUUUACACCAGCCAAGGAAUGGGCUUUGUUUCUGUGUUUCUAAUGAAGUUAUCUUUUUUUUUUAAAAAAAAAAAAAAAAAAAAAAAGAAAAGAAAAGAAAAUGAGCAAAGAAUUGUAGAUAGACAGCAGUGACACAGAUACAGUCAUGCAUGAAGGGCUCGAUCCUGCCAGUGAUGCUAGGGGCAGUGGUACUGUGUGGACACUUUGCUGAUGUGGCUUCCCUCAGCCUAGGUGCACACUGCACCCCAACAUGGCUGCUACUGAGCAAGGCAGGGGCAGUGUGUCCUCGCUCAGCACCAAGGUAAAAAAUGGAGGGCAAGACAAGUGCGGGUGCCAGGGCUGGCAACUGCUCCUAAGAGUAUGUCCAAACAUCUCCUUUCAUGACUCUUCCAUGGACUCCCAUUUCUGACCUCACCACCUGGCUCCGACAAAGUGCUGACUCAGUCACUGAGUCAGAGCAACCUGCCAUGAGCAGCCCCCCCUCCUGUUUACACAAACCAUUGCUGAGAUAGGCUGCAGAACCUCCCUUCAGGAGUAGGAGAGGUGCAAGGUGGUCACCAUACUCAGCAGGUUGAAACUUGUGCCUCUCUCUGCACAUGGGGUCAGUGUGUUCUCCUGGAGGACUCCCAGAAAGCUGUGUUCCUAGGCUGGACUUCUUCCCAUGCAGGGAAAUUUAGGGUUACUUUCGCUCUGAAGCACUGAUUAAAUCCCACUGAAGUUGAUGGAAAAGUUACCGACAAAUCCCAUGAGUUUCUGGGACUGGGAAGGGAGAAUCUGGGCAUGCUGAAUCUAACCUCAGCUCUUUUCCACACUAAGCAGAAAGCUGGAUUUGGGCUGCAUGUGGGAUGCCACUGGCACUGUGCAUGCAAAGUGGGUGCACAAAUGUCCAAAGCACCCAGACUCAUAUGCCUGACUCCCUUUCACAGGUGAACAGGGGUUGCGAGGGUCCUGGUUGGAAGGUGUGUGUUAAAGGCAAAGACCAGAUCUCCUAGGCCAUAACUACACCCUACAAAAGAGGGGUGGGAGAGUCAGACAGGCCCAGGGUAGCAAAGAUCUAAGUCAGCACAUCCCCAUGGUGGAACUGAGCACCAUCCAGGCUAACCAGGUUAGUUGGGCAGUUUGGCCACUUUAAUCUGAAGCUAGUGAGCAGAAUUUAUGAUUGAGGCCAAUGUGUUUAGACAGCACUGAGACCUGACCCAAUGACCUGAGCCAACAUGUCUGUAGUUGGCUCAGGUGUUGGCACGUUCUCAGUUUGAGCUUAGCAGAGGCAGUAGGAAGAUCCAUCUUGAUCUGUCAGCGUAGACAUGCCCACAGACUCCUUUUUGUCCUUUUUAAAGGACAAAGAAAGUCCUCCUUAUGCCCAGCUGGUCUAAGUCCCUCUGCUCAUUGCAUUUCCUCUUAAGCCACUUUUUCUAUGAUGCCACAAAGAUCAGUUUAUACUACAUAAGUGUAGGUGCAUGUGUGUAUUAGAUAAGACAUUUUAUAUAUAUAUUAAACAUAUAUAAAUAUCUAUUUUAUAUAUAUAUUAUAUAUAUAUUAAACAACACAUUCUGUUCAGUCAUCCUCAUUUCAUGUUCUACCAAUGAACCCCAUCGCUUCUCUCAAAUUGUACAAGUUCUUUAGGACUGAGCUGUCUUUGUUUUGGAGUACUGUAUAGAUAGCCAAUUCUAGUGAACAGCACUCUACCGGUACUGCAUUUAGAUGGCUGAGGGUUUUUUAGUAUUAGUGAUACUCCUCAGAAUCUUCACAAUAUAUCAUCAGGCGCUGAUGCUGAACCAUCACCAAGACUCAUAGUUGUGAAUGGGCUAUCUAUGAAUUAAGUUCAUAUGCACAAUGAGGACUGUAGUUCUUACUGAAAAUUAGCACUGUCUUAAACACUAAUGUUUACUGCAAAAGUAUGCACAAAUAAACAAACAAAUAAAUAAAUAAACUAAAUCAAAACAAAGCAUUCUGGAGAGUGGGAGAGAGAUGCCAUCAUUUCCAUUCCCACUGUCUCUUACAAUUGCAUAUAUGGGGGAAGAGUAAUAUUUUGGACUUCUCUCCUCCCUCCAAGGGCCAAUUUUUUGAGGUUUGCCAACAGAGAUAAACAAUAUACUGUUGUUCUAUAUGAAUUAGCUAAUACAUUUCCCAGGGUUAUUUGGUUUUAGUAGAAUAGGUGAUUGUUUCUGGGGUAUACUCAUUGUCAUUCUUGCUUGUUUUAAUACCAGGAUAUGCUCAGUAUCAUCAUUGAUAUUUAAAGUAAGAUAUCUGGUUUGUUAGAUGAUAGUUUCCAAUUAGUAACAAACAACAGAUAAGUUGUCCUAAGACUUACCAGAAUAAGCAGCUAAGACGACUGAAUUUCCCCUAUUAACAAAGUCUAUGAGCAUUAACAGGGAAAUGCAUAACAAGUAACUUACUGCGUACAAAACCCCCGAAUAAUACCGUAUCAAACUAUAAAUAACAGAUAGUAAACAAAAAAAAAAAUUCACUAUAUAAGUCACAGGAAAGGAAAAAAAAUAAUCUCCAAAGCCCAAAAGAAUUUCCCUAUAUGAAUUACGGCUUCCAUAGCCAGUGAAAGAUUACUGCAAUUCUAUAUAUAAACAAAAAAGUCUACAGCAGGUAUUUUAACUUACAAUUAGAAGAAAUUAUCUGCAGAUUGCAUAAAUGCGUUGUUGUGUCACAUAAUAUCAAAGUUAUUUGCAAAAAUUAUACAAUCUGGAAUGCUUUAAUAUGAGACACAACAAUGUACUUAAACACACAGUAAUAAGAAAAUGAGAGUAAUCAUUAUAUAAAAUGAGUUUUGGGGAUGCAUCGAGUUAGCAGUGCUAUCUAGAUUAAAUAUGUAAAGUGAAAAGUCGUCAUUUUAAUAAGCUGCUCAUUGAUACCCCUUUUUGCCAUCAGGACAUUUUGUGUUCCCUGCAUCUGCUGGAUCUUUAAAGUCCCAAGGGCAAGUUAAAGCCAGUUUUGGCAUUCAGAAAUAAUUCGGUUGAGAUCUACACUGCGUUUGUUACCACUGUAUUAUUUUUCUUUUAAAAGAGAAGUGAUUUCACAAAGGCAGGUUUCUUUCAUUGACACAGUAAAAUCCUUGGAGCAGGGACCAUAUUCUGGGCACUGCUAAUCACAUUGUUGGCACUCAAGAAAUAAAUAAUAACAACAUGAAUGAUAAUUUACUUUACUUAACUCCUACUUAUUUGUAGUGCUGAUUCCCUUGAUUUAAGUGAUGCUCCUUAGG